CUUUACUGUAGCUUGGAAUUGAGUUUGGGUUUAUUUUGCGCAGUAUAGGUGGGAGGCUAAGAUAAUAAGCUUGAGGGUUUAUUGGAGCCAAUAGUGAGAUACCACUCUAAGUAAACUAGAAUUCUAACCUUGAUAGUCGUUAGCCGGCCAAGGAACAGUUUCAGGUGGGCAGUUUGACUGGGGCGGUCGCCUCCUAAAAGGUAACGGAGGCGUGCAAAGGUUCCUUCAGGCUGGUCGGAAAUCAGUCGUAGAGUAUAAAGGCAUAAGGGAGCUUGACUGCAAGACCUACAAGUCGAGCAGAGACGAAAGUCGGCCUUAGUG
rnacentral:rRNA from 1 species